GAUGGGUUCCCCAAUAAAAGAAAACUGCAUAAAAGUUACUUAAAAAGGAAGCAAAACUACCUCCUGAGAAAAAAACGUUAAGUACUGAAAGCAGAGUUUUUGUGACCAAGCAUUGUCGUGAGCACGCUCCCCGCACUCUGUCCUGUUCUAAGGACAGUUCUUUGAUGUAGGGGCUACAGUUCAAGGGCAGGGAACUUGGGUGCUUUGCUUAAUGGAAGGCAUUUCUUAAAAAACAGGGAGCUAAAUGUGAAUCAUAAAUCCAGAGCUCUACACAGGAUGGUGAGGUUGGCGCCAUCUUCACGGGUAGGAAAGCCUGCAACCAAACAGUACAGACCUGUAACAUAGUUGCAUUCAUCAGUAUGGAGAUUAUGGUAAGGUCCCCAAAAGAGGUGACAGUGAAGUGGGGGUGGAAGAGAUCAAAGAGCGGGGAAGAUGCAAGCCAUGAGGGAUCCAGGAAAGGAGAAGCCAGUCUACACUUCACAUAAGCCAGCAAAAACUAUUCUGGGUCUGGGAAGAGAACAAGAAAUAGCUAAUCUGCUUUUACUGUAAGCAGUGCUAUUCAGGGCCCAGGAAGACAGAAGCUAGGCCACCACACCCAGGAGUCAGCAGGACCCAAUUUGGCCUUUGUGUAAGCCACUCAGCCAUGUGGGGCCCAGAAAAAGAGAACCCAGUUUGCCCCUCCUGUGAGCCCACUGGUGUGAGAAUCCAGGUACGUCCCCACUCACCCUCCAGAAACAACCUUUGGUUCAGGAGGACAGGCUGAGUUAAUAGAAACCCAGGUACAAAACCAACUAAAUGCUUGUGUUGUUUAGUUGACUUUGCAGGCCUGAGGGCCAUAGUCUAAGCAUCUGUUAGGAGGAUGACAGCACGCAGCAUAGCAAAUACGGGGGAAUUUCCUUCUGUCCUGUGUUUGAAAUCCAAUAGUGCUUUCACCGGUUAGUUUUUUCCCAAUUUAUUACUUUGUUUUAUUGAAUGUUCUAUUUUGAUUGGUUUAUUUCUGGUUUGUUUUUUUGCUUUUACUUUUUUUUUUUAAUCGGUUACAGGGAUCGAACUCACGACCGCCUGCUUGCAAGGCAGGUAUUUAUGCCACUGAGCUAAAUCCCCAGCCCCCAUUUGCUUUUACUAUGUCUGAUGCACAGCUAUUGUGAAGAUAACAAGUGUUAUUAAAGUAGCCAUUGUAGGUUUCCUAUUAUACUGUGUUUUGAAGGUUUGUACCACUUUUACUGUUUCGUUUCGAUUGGCUUUAUUUGUUAUAUUUUAUUCUCUUUAAAAUAAAGAAUACAUUUAAAAACAACAAAGAGUGGGAAAGAGAUGAAGGUCAUGAGCACUCAGGGGCUGGAAGAAAGGAAGUGCAAGCACCCUUCCUUCCACAGGCCCUGGGCCUUCCUGGCUCCUGCUGGCCCCUAGCAGGAGGCUCUUAUCCCUGAGAUCUUUCUCAUGGGCACUAGUGCUCAGCAGACCUGUGUUUUCAGGGCCAAAACACAGAACCCACCUUUCCCAUCUGCUUUAUGCAGUAAGAGGACAACUAAUGUGUGUUCGGGGAAAGCGAAUGCCAGUGAUUUCCAGUGCUCCUACCAACAGACUUUGUAAAGAUGGCCUGCUGUGCUUGAGAAAAUCAGAAUAUUCUCUUGCACAUCACUGAUAUAAACAAAUCUCCUGCUAUGAGGCCCAACCUCCAGCUUCCCACAGAGCUAGGAUAAUGACCCCAUCUUCCAACCAGGCUUCCUGGAUCUCACACUCCAAUUAAGAAGCUCCUUCCAUGUACACUGUGGCAUCUGUGUUCUUGUCCCACUGAGGAAAGGUCAUGAGCUGCCAAAGAGAUGAAACUCACAGUGGAACUCACUUAGCCGGCUUUCUUCCCAGUGUGUCCCUGGGCACUCCUCACCCCAGGAACUAACCACAGCCCAUGGAGGGAUCAAAAUACUUGGAGUCGUUUUACGUAGGUCUCCCUGCCUUUGCACAGAGCUAAGUGGAGUUUGCCUCCAUGACUUUCUUCUUCUAAGUCUCCAGAGCUGCCCAUUCUAACUGAUAACUUUAGUAUAUUCAGUCUGACUACAUCUGGGCACAGCAGCAAGAUUAGCACUUACAGCACACAUUGGAAAUUACUAAGCUCUGCUAUCUAUAAUGUAAGUCUGAUGUUACAUGAAAGAGAGAAGGCAGGUUAAGAGCAAUGAAUGUAGACGUUUUUGUGCUUAGGAAAAUUUGAGCCAGGCUGGUGUGGGGUCCUGAGCUACAGCUGUGCCCAUGCCUCCUGAUUCUCUUCUCACUUUCUCUCCCAAGUUUCCCACAAUCAAUUACAUGGACAUUGGAUCCUGUCUCAGCAUCAGCGUUUUGGAGGGUCUGAAUCUGAGCAAACAUAGACUCCAAGGCAGAAGCAGGGUCUCAGGGAGAAAAGGCAAACAGAACAACACAGGGGACAGGGGACAGGGGACAGUAGCUUGGAGUAGAGUAGGGACAACAGGGGUGGAGACAAAUCAAAUUAUGCCUUUCUGUCAAAGACAGAAUGUCAAGAAAAAACUACAAACCCAUAGAAAGAAAGAACCUAGGCACUUAACAGCUCAGGGUGAAAGCCCCAUGUUCAAUCCUUAACACCAUGAUAAAGGAAGAGAACAGUUACUAGGCUGGCUGCUAGAUGAGUGCUAAGAGAGGAAGUGGCCACCCAAGAUGCCUCCAUGGUUUUAGGACUAAGCAACUGGAAAGGUGGAGUCUCCUGCACCUGACACGCUAAAGCCUGAGAGGGGAACACGUUCUAGGAGUGACACUAAAGGCUGAAUUCGGGAUCUAGAAGGCUGGAGAUACUAUUAGACAUGCAAAGGAAAUGUAACAGAGACUACUCAUUUCCUGAGCCUGGAUUUCACAAAAGGCUAUUGGUUGAAGACACAACUUCCACAGUUGCUGUGUAGCUGGUAUUGGAUGCCAAAGAACUGAAGGUGAUCACUAUGGGGUAAGAGAAAGAUCAUCAUAGGGAUGAUCUAGGAUCUGGAUCCUGGUACAUACUAGAUUUGACAGGUGAGGAGGAUUUAUCAGGUAACAAUGGAGGUCAGGCAAAUGCAAGCUUGUCAUCAGUGCCUGAUGAAGUUCACAUUUUAACGGAGUUUGGCCCCUUUUGAGAGUAAAUACUGUUUGACUCAAACUCUGUUUUAUGUGACUAUUUUAUUUUGUUUUUAUUUUUGAGAUAUGGUCUUGAUAAGCAGUUCAGGCUCUUGAACCCAGGCUGCCCUCAUACUCAGGGGGAUCCUCCUGCCUCAGUCUCUGGAGCACUGGGAUUACAUGUGUACAUCACCAUGCCUGGCUCUUACGUGAUAUCAAAGGAGCUGUACCAUGAGAUUUUCCUUACUAGAGGUCCUCACAUCUCUCUCUACGCUUUUACUCCUCCUGUUUCCCUUCCUCCCAGACCCUCCUGUCCCAGCUCCCUGGGGUGGCCAAGAACAGCAGCAGUCUGCAGCUUUAAUGGCACUCCACCCAUCCCCCACUCCCUGGAGAAGGCAUCACUAGGUCCCUUAUGACGUCACAGUUCCACUGGGCCAAUGGGAUGGGAGGUUUGAGGCCACGCCCUAUUGUGUUGUGUUUGGCUCCGCCCUGGUUACCCCUCUUGGGGGCAGGUUGUGGAGUUCAGUGGAGGGUGUUGGAGGAAGUUUCCCUGUGAUGGAAGGGAUUGUCAUGAAGUGGUCUCAUCCCUUUCCCCCUCCCUGUGUUGGAAUACCUGAAGAAAUCAGAAAGCAGAAAUUGGCUGCAGCCAAGAAAAAGCUAAGACAAUUUCAAAAACAGAAGAAGUCUGACCACUCUCCAGUGGACAAAAGAGCAAGUUUUUAAAAAGCAUAAAACCUAAGCCUGCCAGUGGAGGAGAAUAUCACCCCCAUGAAGCUGUGCAUGAGUUGAAGGAGGUUCGGGACAAGAAUGCUGAGAAGCUUCCUGUAAAGUUGAGCGAACUGAAGAACUGCAUGGAGAGAAGAGAACACCAAUAUAGUGACCACCUGAGCUCAGAGCAGCUGAGAAACCAUGAGUGGACUCUGAAGCUGGGCCAGCUACAGGAGGACAUCUUGGAACUCAAGUCAGUGGUGGUGCUGAAGAGCCAGGAGGCCCAGGUGCUGCAGCUGCAGAGAGACCAGCUGCUGGGCACCCUGUGCCAGGGCACUGAGGCCUGGUUACAGCUGGUCUCUGAAAAGCAGGCUCUUCAGUGGAGUUCUCCCAACUAGUAAUGCAGCUGCAGGAGAAACACGAACAAGAAAACAAGGCCCUGGAGAACAUCUUCCAAGACCUGAAGAAGACCCAGGUGUUUGAGGCUGCUGAGGCUGGGCCCCUGCCUGGGAGGACCUGGCUGCCUCUGACUUGUCACUGUCCAUCCUCACCUACAGGAAGUGGUGCAAUCCUCCAGGCUGCAGAAACAGCAAUCAGCCCCGGGCAGAGAUCUGGCACUGCCCCGGGAAGCUGAGUGGAGGUGUCAGUGCUGGAUGGGCUGAGGAGCACUCUGAGAAAGAGAGUGGAGGGGGAAGAGAUGGCAGAGGGCUGCUCAUUCUCUCCCAGAGGGUGGUGGGCCAGGGGGACCUGGUGAGGUGGGUGGAGGGGACCCGGGACUGCUCUGCCUCCCUUUUGGGGCUUACUGGGGACCCUCCUGACUGAUUGAUCACAAUUGGAAAUGAAGGGGAUGUGGAGGAAAGGAACACGAAGAGCCCUCAGACCAACAGCACCACUCCUGAGGAUGUGGGCAGCUCAGAGGCCGAGGUGAGCUGGGCUCUGCUUUGAGCCUGGCCUGGGUCUCCUUCCCUGCCUCUCCCUCUGAGGUCCUUUUGAACAUCUCAAUACUUUGGAUUUUCCCAUCCCCUCAUUUCCCUGGACCUUCUCUGGAAGCAGUGGUCACACCCCAUCCCCUAGGAGCAACAGGUGCCAGUGGCAGAAGGGAGGCUCCUUUGUACCCCAUGCAACUGUCAUCUGGAUAGCUCCCCCCACAGAAUCACACCCUGCCUCCACAGAUGGUAUUUGUCAACAGAGGUCCCACCGCUGUGCAGAAAUAGUGGGCUCAGCCAGCCAGCCAUCAGAGAAUGCAGAGGCAGCCAUGCCCGAGCAUAACCUAGUGGAAAUCCCGACCCAGGGCAAGCCUAAGGAGGAGGCUUCAGUACCCAGGAGCAGUGGUGACCAUGUGGCCACAGUGCAAGUGCAGGAGAGGCUGUUCCACCCGGCUGAGAAGGGUGGGCAGGACAGGUUGCCACAGAGCCCUGACUCUGUGCUCUGCCUCCUAUUUCGUGCAGGCCUUGCAGGGCCAGGCAGGACUGAAGAGAGUGUGCAGGAGCUGCCAUGUCAGGGCCUGCUGCUCUGUGGUGAUUCCAGCACCGCUGGUGAGCUGGGCCAGGGCCCCUGCAGCAGGGGCACUAAGGUUUGGGAUUUGGGGAGGCCUGCAAGUGACCUGUGACUAUUGUUCUCCUUUGCACAGCCGAGCACCCUGACAUCUGCCCCAAACAGGGGCCAGUCCUUAAAAAGAGGAAUUAUGAGGAGGAGGACACACGAAGGAGGAGGUGGAUGAACCAAUGGAAGAGGAGGAAGAGCAGGAGAAUCAGGAGGAAGAGGAGAAGUAUGAACAAGUGGAGGAGGAGGAGGAGGAGGAAGAAGUGGUGGAGGAGGAGGAGCGUUGUAAGCAGGAGGAGGAGGAUCAGUGAGUGGAGGAGGUGGAUGAACAAGUAGAGGAGCAGGAAGAGGCAGAGGAAAAGGAGGAGCAGCAGCCAGAAGGGCAGGAGGAGGAAGCGGACAUGGAGGAGGAGCAGGAGCUGGAGGAGCAGGAGGAGGAGGAAGAGGAAAAGGAGGAAGAGAUGGAGGCAGAGGAUCAGCAGCAGGAGGAGGAGGAACAUAUACACCAGCUGUUCCCAGUGAAGGGAGAGGAGAAGGUAGGUCUGGAUGUCUCCUUAGGCUGGGUCAGGGUGGGCCCUGAGCCUCUGUCCCUCUUGGUAAAAUAAAGCUGCUUGUGCUGCAGGAGGUGGUUCUGAUCCUGAAAACAGAUUGCAGGUCCGGUCAGGAUGAGUUUAAGGGCACUGCACAGAGCCGUGGCGAGGAGCCCACUGUGGGAUCCCCACCCACCAAGCACGCUGCAGCCUCAGAUGAGGAGUGCGGUCCUGGGAGGGAUGGGCAGGGGCAGGCAUGGCAAGGGGCACACACUCAGUGCCUGCUGCUCUCUCCCCAAAGAUCCUGCAGAGGGAAGCCCUGCACACACUGAGCAGCCUCCAGCUGAAGAGGCUGUGGCCUGGUGCCCCCCAGAACCCCAGCUGCAUGAGAGUGAGAGUCUGCACAGCGGACUGGCUUGGGCCUUCACCCCGAGUACAGUGGUUUCUGCUUUGGAACACGCUGAGGAGGAGGAAACCACAGGACCCAGUCUAAUCUAAAGAGUUUCACCAGCAGGUCCUGGGGAAGUGGGGCCGGGGCUGUGUGCCCUCUUUCCCCAAUUCAGUCCCUGCCUCCGCAUCCCUCUUCUCCUGACUUAUUUGCUCUGAUGUCUAGAGGAGCAAGAAAAACUCUACAAAUUUAUUUCUUCCUAAAUAUAUUUUAAUUCCAAGGAUUCUUUAAAAUAUCAAAAAAUGUUAAUUAAUUUGCAUAAAAAGGAAAAACCCCACAGAGAUAUUUAAUUAAAAGUAUUAAAAUUUUAAAAUCUUUUUUAUUUUAAAGAGUAAAACAUGACAAAAUGAAACUGAGUUUCCGAACAGGAUAGUAGGACAGCGACAAUACUUGAUACCCUGCAUGCUGUUGUCUUCCAGGUAGCUAUUCGGAGUACAGGAUGUAGGCAUCCUAUAGCAUCUAAACAAUGUUAGCACAAAACUUUGCUUUCAAGGAACAAAUCAAAGCUAGCUGUGCAAUUAUCUUCACUCUAAUUUUUUCUUUUUUCCCUUUCUUUUUUCCUCUAUCACAGUUUGAACUUGAAAAGCUCAUUUAUGGUUCUGAAGGACAGAGGGAGGAGAUGGGAUGGGGUCCUGAUGCCCUGGUCGUGAUUAUCCCCUUUAUGCUGAUUUUCAUUUGGUUGUGAAUCACUGGAUUCCAUCAGCUUCCUGGCCCAGCAGGUUCCUGGGAUUGAAGAGCAAGGAUCAGAUGAGGAGCAGGAAGCAGAUGCUGCCGGCAGAGGGCGCACAUCAGGCUGUGCAGGGUCCCAAGUCAGAGCUGGUCCAGCAGGCCUGGAUGGCAUCUCCUUACCUUGUCACCUGGAUGCUUCUAGGGCAUAGUGAGGGGACUGUGUGGAGGCUCCCCAGGCAUCCCGUCUUAAUGGGCUGUGGACUGGAGCCUGAGAUCCAGUGGGGAAGGACAGACUCAGGGGGCUGCCCUGCCCUGCAGUGCACCAUUUCCAUUUCAUGCCCUGGUUCUGGUGCUGUCUGCACAUGGGGGCCUGUUCCUUCUGGUUAGCUCAGCCUAUUGUUGGCUGCUGCCCCUCUUCCUUGAGGUUCAGUUUGUGACCCUGCUCCUUAGUGGUAAGAAUGGUUUCUUUGUUGUUUUUUGAUAAGAAUACUCUAUGGGAAUUCCAUAGCCCUGGAAUGCCUGUGACAUAUCAACUUUAGUCUGAGAAACUCAAUUCAUUCUCAUGAGACAGACAUGAGUCCUUGGGAACAAGGUGGGGGUGAUACCUUUUAACGUGAAGUCCCCCUCAGAAGUCUCCUCUGUUUGGAAGUUGAUUGGAUGGGAAGGGCAGCAUACUCUACAGAGGACUUGUCCACUGAUGAGUUCAGGGGGUAGAUGUGCUGUCAGGGUGUGAGGCUGCUGGGAACGGGGUUGCUGACCACUGUGGCCUGAGCACCUUUCCCUUGGCCGUGUCCCUCUUCCCUCCUGUUUUUGCCUUGGAGCCAGUCCAUCAGAGACUAGAAGUCUGAGCCCAGACAAACCCCUCCUCCUCUAAACUGCGGGUGUCAAGUAUCUUGUCUCACAGGUGGAAAGUGAGAAAGACAUGAAGGUUUCGGGACCUGUGCAGAGUGCAGACAAGUUCUCUCUGGCCAGAAUGUACCAUGCACAGGAAGUUCCCACCUGAGACCUCCUGAGACUUGGCUCCGCUCUCUGCAGUUUGCCAGCACUCUGGUCAUCUGAGAUCCAAUCAGAAACACCCACUAGACUGUGCUUAUGGCAUUGCAGGGCUUCUCUAGCACACAGCUGUUAACAUCCCCAAAUCCCUCCCUCAAAACUGUCCCAAAUGCAUCUGAACUUCAUGGUCUCAGGCAGUCGCUGUUCGGACUCCACUUCUCUAGUCCCAGUUCUUUGUAUUUGCUCACUGAGAUCAGUAGCUGACACCCACAAUAUAAGAAGGAGACUUUUCCUUGGCUCACAGUUUCAGCAAACUCAGUCCACGUCUGGCUGGCUCUGAAGCAGAUAGAUCGUGGCAGAAGGGCAAAGCUGCUUACUUCAUGGCAUCUGGGAAGCAGAGCAGAUUGAUUAUUCCUGAGAGCGAGUGCCAGGUGUCCAAUAUAGUGUCCUUUGUUACACUUCAGGGACACAUCAAGAGGUGUGCUUUCCUAAGCUGCCUCUCAAUUCUAAAGCUACCACUCACAACCCAUCUUUAGUGUCACCGUAAAAGUCCAGGGGGCUUCUUACUAGAAACAACACAUCUUAGGACACAGAAGAAACCACAAUGCUUAUAGAAACAAGUUCAUGCAUCAGCCUACAAUAAGUGCUCAGCAAACAUGUCCCCCAAAAUCACACUGAAGUUCAACUUUCUGGUCCAGAAAUUUCAAAACCUGAGAUAGCACCAGCUUUCCUUAAGGAAAGGAUUCAAAAGAGUCCCAUAUUCACAGGAAAAUUUAUUCCAAAAUGGAAAAUGUGUCAAUGGUGGGGCUGUGGUAGAUUUGGUGGGGUUAGUGGUAGAGUGGUGGUUGGAGUUGUGGUUAGGGCUGGCACUAGAGCUAGGGUUAGGGAAAAGAUGGUUUGAGGUAGUACUAGUUAGGUUAGGAAAGUAUACAGCUAUAGUUAGUGUUAGUAUUAGGUUUCUGGAGACAGGGCUAGGCUUUGAGUUAGGUGUAAGGUUAGAUUUAGGCAUCAGAAUAGUGCUAGUGCCGGGCUAGGCUUUUGGUUAGGUUUAGGUUUGUGUUAUCUUUCAAAUUAGGCCUAUGAUUAAGGCUAACUCUAGCUUUGGUGUAGGUCUACUUUUGGGAUUUGACUAUGGCUAAUGUGGGAUUUGGGAUUAGAUUUAUCCUUAGGGUGAGAGUUAGGUUUAGGAUUUGGGCCUGUAGUAGAGUUAAAUUAGGGGUAGGCUUACUAUGUGGUUAGUGUUAGAGCUAGAAUUGGGCUAUAGGUGGGCUCAGAGGUGAGCCCAAGGCAGACAGCCCAACUAAGUGGUGUGCCAUGACAGCUCCACGGUAAGAAUGACUAAAUCCAGGGGAACCAAGCUUGCCAGUCUUUGUGGGCUGGCAUCAGCAAGUUCUCCUAAGACUGGUGCCCUGUCACCCUGAGCAGUUACCCUGCUAUAUUUUGGGGUUUCUGGGCAUGGACCCACUCAUCAGCUCUGUGGACCUCGGUGUUGUCGCUAAAAUCUGGGUAGGAAAUGACAGCAGUUUGGGGAAGUUGGAUUUAUUUCUCCCCAGCCAGUUGGAUCCUGGAAGACUCAGGAGACUGUCCUUUCUCUGCGGGCUCCCCAUAGCCGGAGGAGACUCCCAGUCCAUCAUGCACCUUCAUUCCAUGGGCAGUUUCUCUCCCAAGGAGAACACAUGGACUUCCCAAUCUUCUCUGGCCAAGAAAGGUUUGGAGCUACAGCUCAGGCCUGCUUCCCCUCCUGCCCUCAGCUGCCAGUGACCCACCUCAAGGACUGUCCUCCUCGGGUUCCAGCAUGUCACAGUGGUGCUUCAGGUUCAGCUUCUCCUCCAGCAGCACCAGCGCAUACUCCACCACCUAGAUAUUCUAGUUGGUGGUCUCAGCUUCCGGGUCAGCUGAUCAUUCUCGGUCUUGCAGUGAUCCACACUUGGCUUCAGCUCCUCUGUGGCCACCGCUGCUGUGGGGGUGCGGGCCAGGCCGCUGGCUGAGCGUGCAUGGUGCUGGGCUAUGCUGGGACCCGGCUGUGGGGCAUUGUAUUGCCACAUGUGGAAACAUCAGCCCGGGGCUCAGGCUCACAGCCACAGCCGCCACGGGCCCCAGUCCAUGCUGGGCCACCUGCUCUGCAUCACUGGGAUGCUGCAGCUGCAGUCACUGCCCCAACUGAGCUUGUCAUUGCCUGACCUGGAUGGGCCAGCUGGGCGCGGGAGCAGAUGCAGUUGGCGAGGUGCAGGACUGGGGGGUGGGCCAGACAGAAGCAGCAAUGCCAAUGCCCGCCUCUGGCAGCACUGCCUGGCAUAGACCUCAGGGUGUCCACUGCGUCCCCCCUGAGGUGCGAGAUCCUCCCCCGACCACCAUCACUGUGCUAGGCACAGACACCCCUGCCCAGAGUCUCUGGCCACAGUGAGCACCCCAACUCAGAAAGAAACACCUUCCCCACAAAAAGUGAUUCAACGCCGCGGGGUCCUGAUCCCAGCCAGCACGGACACUGUCUCUGAAGCCUUCCACACAAGCCCUCACCUCCAAAGUCUGGGUUGUUCACCUGCUCCUCUCUCAGAGUGGAACUUCAGUGUCUCCCCAAGACAGGCUUCCUCACAAGCUGCCUGUGCUGCCUCCCCCAGGCUUGGAUGAGCCCAGCUCCUCACAGGAUCCUUGGCUGCUCCUGAAAAUGUUUCUGUGAUUGGAACUCUGCAUGCGUGGGUGUACCACUAAGCGCUUUAUUGUAUGGGUCCCUAUUAAAAAGAAACUGCAUAAAAGUCCCUAUAAAAGUAACAAAAUCACCCUGUGACAAAAAAAUUAAGUAAUGAGGGCAGAGUUCUGGAGACCAAGCUUUGUCCUGAGCAUGCUCCCUGCAGUCAGUCUGUGCUAUUCUAAGGACAGUUCUUUGAUGUGGGGGCUUCUACUUACAGUUCAUGGGCAGAGAGGUUGGGUGCUUUGCCCAGUGGCAGGCAUUUCUUAAAUGGGGAGCCAAAUGUGAGUCAUAAAUAAAUCCAGAGCUCUACACAGGGUGGUCAGGUUGGUGCCAUCUUCACGCAUAACUCCCGGAAAGCCUGCAACCAAACAGUACAGGUCGUUAAGAUAACUGCAUUCAUCAGUAUGGAGAUUAGGGUAAAGCCCCCCAAAGAGGGGAAAGUGAAGUGGGGGUGGAAAAGAUCAAAGAGCAGGGAAGAUGCAGGCCAUGUGGGAUCCAGGAAAGGAGGAGCCAAUCUGCUCCUCCCAUAAGUCAGCAAAAGCUCUUCUGGGUCUGGGAAGAGAAAAUGAAGCAGCCAAUCUGCUCUUCCUGUAAGCAAUGCAAACCAUUCAGGGCCCAGGAAGACAGAAGCCAGUGCACCCCUCCCAGGAGUCAGCAGGAGCCAAGCUGGGUAUGGGGGAGCACAGCAGGAAGCCAAUUUGCCCUUCCUGUAAGCCACUCAAGCCAUGUGGGGCCCAGAAAAAGAGAAGCCAGUUUGCCCCUCCUGUGAGCCCACUGGUGUGAGAAUCAAGGUACCUGCCCUCCAGAAACAACAGGUUGGUUCUGGAGGACAAGCUGAGUUAAUAGAAACCCAGGUACAAAACCAACUAAAUGCUUGUGUUGUUUGGUUGACUUUGCAGGCCUGAGGCCCAUAGUCUAAGCAUCUGUUAGGAGGAUGACAGCACGCAGCAUAGCAAAUACGGGGAAAUUUCCUUCUGUCCUGUGUUUGAAAUCCAAUAGGGCGUUCACUGGUUAGUUUUUUCCCAAUUAUUACUUUGUUUUAUUGAAUGUUCUAUUUUGAUUGGUUUAUUUGUGGGGUUUUUUUUUUUUUGCUUUUACUUUUUUUUUUUUUAAUUGGCACCAGGGAUCGAACUCAUGACUGCCUGCUUGCAAGGCAGGUGCUUUUGCCACUGAACUAAAUCCCCAGCCCCCAUUUGCUUUUACUAUGUCUGAUGCACAGCUCUUGUGAAGAUAACAAGUGUUAUUAAAGUAGCCAUUGUAGGUUUCCUAUUA